GUAGCAAGGCGAAUCCGGAUAGGAGACGCCCAGGGAGGCGGGAAGGGGUGGAAAACUCUUUCAUUGCAUUGAAGGACCUGGCUGGGUCUCUCCCAAAGAAGUCAGGCCUGGAAUCUCAGCGGGUUGCAAGCAGGAGGGACAGAAGCAGAGGCGGAGUACUCGGCAGCCUUCGGUUGGCUAGUUAUUUGACAUUUUUGACAUCUCUGAGGCUUGGCUCCAUUGGCGUUGCCCUGGGAAUAGAUCGAGCAGAGUUGAUACAAAGCCCAGCAGCAGAAGGCAGACCAAAGAGCUCGGCCGGGACCUGCCGGGUUCCUCCCGGGCCUGUGAUUCCAGGAGCUGUCACGGUUACUCAGGAGACUGCAGAAAUAGGACCACUGAAAAACAACUUCAGCACUGACAGGAUUCCUGGAAAGCGACCCCGAGGGCCAGGACUCUGGGAGACCGUGGUUAACCUAAGAAGUAGCUGUUCUCUAGUCAGAUCUCCUGUUUUCAAAAUACCAAAGCUACGGGACAGAUGAUCAUAGUUCGGAGUGAAGCCUGCCAUUCCCGCUCCCGGACUGGCUCGACUGAGCUUGUAGGUGUUCACCAACCAAGGAUUGAAGACCGAGGCAGAAAUGACGCCCAGGCUGACAGGCCAGCGGGUACUGGAGGAGCCAAGCUCAUCUUGACAAACACAAACAUUCAUCCUCACCCACAAGGCAUGGUCACCUUGAGUAGGUGUGGCUGUAAAAUAAAAAUGAGUAUAUAGGGCCGGGGAUGUAGCUCAGUGGUGCUGCACCUGCCUUGCAAGCACAAGAGCCUGUGUUCAAUUCCCACUACCACAAAAAAAAUUUUUUAAUUAAAAAAUUAAAAAAAUGACUAUAUAAAGAAUCUAG
ensembl:lncRNA